AUCCAGCUGUCGAGUCCCAAAUAAAACGAAGCACGCGUUCUGGAU
rfam:Schistosoma mattheei strain Denwood, Zambia genome assembly, scaffold: SMTD_scaffold0010571